rnacentral:lncRNA from 1 species
AUUAAUACACAUAAAGCACCAAAUACAUGUUACCAAUAAUUUAUUUUUAUUUUGAGGUUCCACUUUCCUCCUAGGGCCUUCCAUUGGAAAAUGUUGUUUAUUAAAAGUAUACCUGUAUGUGAGAAGUUAGGUCUAAUUUGGUGUAGGUAGGUGAGUAAAGAGAGGGAUGGGAAAUGUUGUUCUUCUUCUGGGUAUACUUCUCUCAUCUAUUUGAAAUAUGCAAGGGACACAUUUGUCUGACUCUUUAUCUACCAGGAGCUCUGACAUGAUAUGGUUAUUUCCUGUUUCUGUUUUACCAUCCAAUUUAUCCUUUUUGAUAGAAAUUAGCUAUAUAACUUUAUCUUCCAAAAUGAAAAGUUGUCAACAUAGCAAGUCAAGAACCAAUUUGUCUUUUUCAACACCAGAUUUCUGACAUUUAUGCAUUUCUAAGUAUCUAUGCAUUUAUCCAAACAUUUUCGAUAUUCCCAAAUUCUUA